rnacentral:sRNA from 1 species
CGGGUGAUGUUCGUCGGCAGCGGUGCCGCGCGUCGGCGCGGUACGCACCGCACAUCGGCUCUGGACAACGCCCUCUUCUGGGGCGCCACUCGAUGUGAGCUGCCCUGCUGUGUGCCAGGCAGAGACAUGGCGCGCCCG